rnacentral:rRNA from 1 species
UACAGAGGGUGCAAGCGUUGCUCGGAUUUACUGGGCGUAAAGCGUGCGCAGACGGCUGAGCAAGUUGGACGUGAAAGCCUGGGGCUCAACCCCAGAAUGGCGUUCAAAACUACUCGGCUCGAGUAUGGGAGAGGGAAGUGGAAUUCCUGGUGUAGAGGUGAAAUUCGUAGAUAUCAGGAGGAACACCGGCGGCGAAGGCGGCUUCCUGGCCCAUUACUGACGUUCAGGCACGAAAGCGUGGGGAGCAAACAGG